rnacentral:rRNA from 1 species
CAUUGAGCCUUGAUGUGUAGGAUAGGUGGGAGGCUUUGAAGCGUGGACGCCAGUCUGCGUGGAGCCGACCUUGAAAUACCACCCUUUAAUGUUUGAUGUUCUAACGUGGAUCCGUAAUCCGGGUUGCGGACAGUGUCUGGUGGGUAGUUUGACUGGGGCGGUCUCCUCCUAAAGAGUAACGGAGGAGCACGAAGGUUGGCUAAUCCUGGUCGGACAUCAGGAGGUUAGUGCAAUGGCAUAAGCCAGCUUGACUGCGAGCGUGACGGCGCGAGCAGGUGCGAAAGCAGGUCAUAGUGAUCCGGUGGUUCUGAAUGGAAGGGCCAUCGCUCAACGGAUAAAAGGUACUCCGGGGAUAACAGGCUGAUACCGCCCAAGAGUUCAUAUCGACGGCGGUGUUUGGCACCUCGAUGUCGGCUCAUCACAUCCUGGGGCUGAAGUAGGUCCCAAGGGUAUGGCUGUUCGCCAUUUAAAGUGGUACGCGAGCUGGGUUUAGAACGUCGUGAGACAGUUCGGUCCCUAUCUGCCGUGGGCGCUGGAGAACUGAGGGGGGCUGCUCCUAGUACGAGAGGACCGGAGUGGACGCAUCACUGGUGUUCGGGUUGUCAUGCCAAUGGCACUGCCCGGUAGCUAAAUGCGGAAGAGAUAAGUGCUGAAAGCAUCUAAGCACGAAACUUGCCCCGA